GGGGUUAUGUGUGAAGCCCUGGAUUAUCUUGAGAAACUGGAAGAUCUGGCAGCGUGUUCUUUUACCUGGAAGCAGUUUGCUGGCCCCUUUGCACUGCUCAGAAACAGUCUCCAGGUCGCCACAGCCCCUCUGUUAUAACCAGCGGCACCACUCAGGGUCACCAGUCCGGGCCCCUGUUUGGUAACCUCCACAACUCUUGGCAAGACUUCAUAAAGGCAAGAACAGUGUUUGCCCUGGUAACAGCUCUACCUCACCACUAGAAUCUAAGCAUCCCAAAGAUGGAGACUUAUUUUGCUCACACUGCCUACUUAAGAGUAAGUGAUUUAUUGAAUGUGUUAAAGAACUUGAUUUUGUGUGUGUGUGUGAAAGAACUUUAAACCUUAUUUUAUGUAACUGGCAUGUUCCGGAGGUUUUCUCUCAAAAUCAAAUGCUUGUAUGUUUAUUGUUAUAAAUUAUUAAAACGUCUUUGUUGUGAAAAUAAUUCCUUUUAAAUUUUUU